rnacentral:rRNA from 1 species
CCUACGGGUGGCAGCAGUGAGGAAUAUUGGUCAAUGGGCGCGAGCCUGAACCAGCCACGCCGCGUGAAGGAAGACGGUCCUAUGGAUUGUAAACUUCUUUUGUAGGGGAGAAAAACGCGCCACGCGUGUCGUUUCGAAAGUACCCGACGAAAAAGGAUCGGCAAACUCCGUGCCAGCCGCCGCGGUAAUACGGGGGAUGCGAGCUUUAUCCGGUUUUAUUGGGUUUAAAGGGUGCGCAGGCGGAAGAUCAAGUCUGCGGUAAAAGUCGGAGGCUCAACCUCUGCGAGCCAUUGAAACUGGUUAUCUAGAGUGAAGGAGAGGUAGGCGGAAUGCGUGGUGUAGCGGUGAAAUGCAUAGAGAUCACGCAGAACUCCGAUUGCGAAGGCAGCAUACCGG